rnacentral:tRNA from 1 species
UUACAUUUUAGUAUAUAUUGUACAGAAAUUUUUGAAGUUUCAGGAAAUAAGGUAAAUUCUAUUAAAUGUA